rnacentral:misc_RNA from 1 species
AACGCACCUUGCGCUCCUUGGUAUUCCGAGGAGCAUGCCUGUUUGAGUGUCAUUAAAUUCUCAACUCUGAAUCGAUUUGUUUCGAUUCGGGGCUUGGAUUUGGAGCGUGCUGGCGUCGGUCGGCUCCUCUUAAACAUAUCAGCGGAAAUCUAACGUUUCGGGCGUCAGUGUGAUAAUCAUGUUGCGCUGUCACCCGAUGUGAUAGGCCCGCUCACAAUGGUCUUCGGACAACUUCAUAUCAAAUUUGACCUCAAAUCAGGUAGGACUACCCGCUGAACUUAA